UUACGGACAUAUCACGUUGGAACACCGGUUCCCAUACGUUCGCCGAAGUUAAGCCAUGUCGAGCCUGGUCAGUACAUAGAUGAGUGAUU